rnacentral:rRNA from 1 species
AGAGUUUGAUCCUGGCUCAGGAUGAACGCUGGCGGCGUGCUUAACACAUGCAAGUCGAGCGAAGCGAUUUAAAUGAGACUUCGGUGGAUUUUAAAUUGACUGAGCGGCGGACGGGUGAGUAACGCGUGGAUAACCUGCCUCACACAGGGGGAUAACAGUUAGAAAUGACUGCUAAUACCGCAUAAGCGCACGGUACCGCAUGGUACAGUGUGAAAAACUCCGGUGGUGUGAGAUGGAUCCGCGUCUGAUUAGGUAGUUGGUGAGGUAACGGCCCACCAAGCCGACGAUCAGUAGCCGACCUGAGAGGGUGACCGGCCACAUUGGGACUGAGACACGGCCCAAACUCCUACGGGAGGCAGCAGUGGGGAAUAUUGCACAAUGGGCGAAAGCCUGAUGCAGCAACGCCGCGUGAGUGAAGAAGUAUCUCGGUAUGUAAAGCUCUAUCAGCAGGGAAGAAAAUGACGGUACCUGACUAAGAAGCCCCGGCUAACUACGUGCCAGCAGCCGCGGU